AAGGAGCAUUUCUCCCGGCGAGGGGUCACACAGGUGACUUCCUUACGGGCAGAGACUGUUUCGUUCCCGCAGGUGGAACGGCAGAAGCUCAUGGGUGGAACGCUGACAAGCACUCUUCGGAUCGUCUCUUCCACCUGGAAGGGAUCGAAGGGUUAUAUCGGUGCACUGUUGGGUCCUGAGAGAACACGCGAGUGUUUUGUCAGCGACGAUGACUUACGAAGGCGGUUGGCCGUGUGGCCGGCGUUGGUAGGGGUUGUUGUGUGUUGUUUGAGAACUGCACAGUGGACGCGAGCAUCUUUGUU
rnacentral:misc_RNA from 1 species